AUUGAACGCUGGCGGAAUGCUUUACACAUGCAAGUCGAACGGCAGCAUAGGUGCUUGCACCUGAUGGCGAGUGGCGAACGGGUGAGUAAUACAUCGGAACGUGCCCAGUCGUGGGGGAUAACGUAGCGAAAGUUACGCUAAUACCGCAUACGAUCUACGGAUGAAAGCGGGGGCUCGUAAGACCUCGCGCCAUCAGAUGAACCCAGAUGGGAUUAGCUAGUAGGUGAGGUAAUGGCUCACCUAGGCGACGAUCUCUAGCUGGUCUGAGAGGAUGAUCAGCCACACUGGGACUGAGACACGGCCCAGACUCCUACGGGAGGCAGCAGUGGGGAAUAUUGCACAAUGGGCGCAAGCCUGAUGCAGCCAUGCCGCGUGUGUGAAGAAGGCCUUCGGGUUGUAAAGCACUUUCGGUGAUGAGGAAGGGGUUGUAGCUAAUAUCUGCAAUUCUUGACGUUAUUCACAGAAGAAGCACCGGCUAACUCCGUG
rnacentral:rRNA from 1 species